CCAGCAGCCGCGGUAAUUCCAGCUCCAAUAGCGUAUAUUAAAGUUGUUGCAGUUAAAAAGCUCGUAGUUGAAUUUCUGGGCUGGCCGGGAGGCGGCCUUCGGUCGACCUCCCCGCGAGUUCAUCCUCGCCCCUCGGGGCGUCAUUUACUGUGAAAAAAUUAGAGUGUUUAAAGCAGGCUUCUGGCUUGAAUACAUUAGCAUGGAAUAAUGAGAUAGGACCGAGUCGUAUUUUGUUGGUUGCGCGAACCGGUAAUGAUUAAUAGGGACAGUUGGGGGUAUUAAUAUUUAAUUGUCAGAGGUGAAAUUCUUAGAUUUGUUAAAGAUGAACUACUGCGAAAGCAUUUACCAAGGAUGUUUUCAUUA
rnacentral:rRNA from 1 species